CUACGGAGGGUGCAAGCGUUGUUCGGAAUUAUUGGGCGUAAAGCGCGUGUAGGCGGUCUGUUAAGUCUGGUGUGAAAGCCCUGGGCUCAACCCAGGAAGUGCAUUGGAUACUGGCAGACUUGAGUAUGGGAGAGGAAAGCGGAAUUCCGAGUGUAGGAGUGAAAUCCGUAGAUAUUCGGAGGAACACCAGUGGCGAAGGCGGCUUUCUGGACCAAUACUGACGCUGAGACGCGAAAGCGUGGGGAGCAAACAGGAUUAGAAACCCUAGUAGUCC
rnacentral:rRNA from 1 species